CAGCAGCCGCGGUAAUACGUAGGGGGCGAGCGUUGUCCGGAAUUAUUGGGCGUAAAGCGCGCGCAGGCGGUCCCUUAAGUCUGAUGUGAAAGCCCACGGCUCAACCGUGGAGGGUCAUUGGAAACUGGGGGACUUGAGUGCAGAAGAGGAGAGCGGAAUUCCACGUGUAGCGGUGAAAUGCGUAGAGAUGUGGAGGAACACCAGUGGCGAAGGCGGCUCUCUGGUCUGUAACUGACGCUGAGGCGCGAAAGCGUGGGGAGCAAACAGGAUUAGAUACCCUGGUAGUCCACGCCGUAAACGAUGAGUGCUAAGUGUUAGAGGGAUUAAACCCUUUAGUGCUGUAGCUAACGCGUUAAGCACUCCGCCUGGGGAGUACGGCCGCAAGGCUGAAACUUAAAGGAAUUCGGCGGG
rnacentral:rRNA from 1 species